UUUCUUCACUAUCUUUGAAGGGUUCCGUCGAUAGUUUGAUUUUUGGUAUUUGACCCAUCAAUACUUUGAUUAUUUGGAGGAAAGCGACCGAACAUCCGUUAGUUUUUUAUAAAAUAAUUUAGAAAAAUAUUUUGAUUGUGUGAAAAUUUUUAUUUUGUAGAUUUCAAAAUUAAGGGUAAAGCGUAUUAUCACACAUUUCUGAAAAAUGUGUUUCAAUUUUGAUUGAUGGAUUCUUUAGCAACAAAAUUUUGAGAUUUGAUAAUGUAUUCUUUAAGACUGGGUAAGUGUUUUAAAUUAUAAAUAUCUCUUGGUAUUAUGCUAUGCUAAUGUUGGUCAUGUCGAUAUAUAUUCUGUUAUAGAAGCUAGCUUCGUUUUUGUAUUGCCCCUUCGGGUGCCUGCACCUAUCCACACCUCUGUUAUGUAUUUGCGCUUUCGAGCACCUCUAUUCUGUGUAUGCACCUUCAGGUGCCUCUGUUCUAUUUUGCUCCUUCGGGUGCCUCUGGAUCUAGUAUGGUGUAUAGUUGCUUACCCAGAUUUCGUAAUUGUUUUGUUCGGCGAGGGCAAGGCCAAGUGAACGCUAGCCGUACUUAACUGUUCGAGUUACUUUUUGUUAUUUUUGUCUUUGUGUAGUUAGGUAUAUGUUGGUUAAUAGGUUACUUGAAUUAUCGAGAUUUAUUCAUUUCUAUAUUUUUAUUCUUCGUACCAUGUAAUUUAGCGAAUUUUGUGAUUAUCUUAUUGUCUAUUUCUUUGUUGGGUUCUGUAGUCUUGCAUAUUUGCUAUUCUAGCAAGUGUGCGGCGUUUGUUAUGCCUCAGGUUUGGGGCGUGACAAAAAAAUGGUAUCAAAGCCUAGGUUUAAGGUUCAUAGGAUUUGUAGAAAUUGAGCAAUAGGAUGAUAAGGUUCAUCUUAGACAUGCGAGAACGUGUGAGAGGGGUAGACUUCUGGCUUUCGAAGAUU
rnacentral:lncRNA from 1 species